UGGAAUUAAAAUUCUUCAUUAUCGUAUUUUCCAACUUGCAACCGCAAGAUCAAUUGAGG
rnacentral:sRNA from 1 species